rnacentral:rRNA from 1 species
GACGAACGCUGGCGGCGUGCCUAAUACAUGCAAGUCGAGCGGACUUUCCGGAGUGCUUGCCCUCUGGAGGGUUCGCGGCGGACGGGUGAGUAACAUGUAGGCAACCUUCCCAUUAGACCGGGAUAACAUUCGGAAACGAUAGCUUAUUACGGAUUGACGGACUUCUCGCAUGGGGGGAGCGCGACAGGCGUAGCACUCUGCCGCUUACGGAUGUGCCGUCGGCGGAUUAGCUAGUUGGUGGGGUAACGGCCUACCAAGGCGACGAUGCGUAGCCGAUCUGAGAGGGUGAUCAGCCACACUGGGACUGAGACACGGCCCAGACUCCUACGGGAGGCAGCAGUAGGGAAUCUUCCACAAUGGGCGCAAGUCUGACGGAGCAACGCCGCGUGAGUGAGGAAGGCCUUCGGGUCGUAAAGCUCUGUUGCCAGGGAAGAACGGGCAGGGGAGUAACUGCCCUUGCCAUGACGGUACCCGAGAAGAAAGCCCCGGCUAACUACGUG